AGCGAACGCUGGCGGCAGGCCUAAUACAUGCAAGUCGAGCGAAUGGAUGGGAGCUUGCUCCCUGAAGUUAGCGGCGGACGGGUGAGUAACACGUGGGCAACCUGCCUAUAAGACUGGGAUAACUUCGGGAAACCGGAGCUAAUACCAGAUAAUUCAUAUCUACUCAUGUAGGUGUGCUGAAAGACGGUUUACGCUGUCACUUAUAGAUGGGCCCGCGGCGCAUUAGCUAGUUGGUGAGGUAACGGCUCACCAAGGCGACGAUGCGUAGCCGACCUGAUAGUGUGGUGGGCCACACUGGGUCAGAGGCACGGCCCAGACUCCUACGGGAGGCAGCAGUAGGGAAGCUUCCGCAAUGGACGAAAGUCUGACAGAGCAACGCCGCGUGAGUGAUGAAGGUUUUCGGAUCGUAAAACUCUGUUGUUAGGGAAGAACAAGUACUAGAGUAACUGCUAGUACCUUGACGGUACCUAACCAGAAAGCCACGGCUAACUACGUGCCAGCCGCCGCAGUAA
rnacentral:rRNA from 1 species